rnacentral:tRNA from 1 species
GGCUCAUAAGCUCAGUCGGUUAUAGCGUCGUGCUAAUAACGCAAAGGUCGCGGGUUCGAUCCCCUCAUGGGCCA